CGGUCCAGACUCCUACGGGAGGCAGCAGUAGGGAAUCUUCCGCAAUGGGCGCAAGCCUGACGGAGCAACGCCGCGUGAGUGAAGAAGGUUUCGGAUCGUAAAGCUCUGUUGUAAGAGAAGAACAAAUUGGAGAGUAACUGCUCCAGUCUUGACGGUAUCUUACCAGAAAGCCACGGCUAACUACGUGCCAGCAGCCGCGGUAA
rnacentral:rRNA from 1 species